GUGACAUCAAAAUAUAUGUGUAACGUUAUGGAAUUCAGAGAGGCAAUAGCUAAUAUUUAUUAGCUUACUCAUGUAUGCUAAUAUGCUAAUGACAUGCCAGUUCCUGUUCUAACUGCUUUGUGUAUAUUAACUUAUUCAAUCCUCCUAUGAGUGGGUCAUAUUAGCAUCUUAUUUCACAGAAAUCUGGAUGAAAAUCACACCCAUUCUGCUAAAGAGUAAAAAAUAAUCAGUUCAAACCUAUCACAAAAAAAGGCACUUCAAAAACAUAAAGUUGGGAAAUUAUAGCAUGAGAACAACCAAGAAAUUUAAAUCACAGGGUUGAUCAUUUGUCUAAUUCUUUUCUUCUCCUGCAUUGUGUUAAUAUAAAAGAAGAAACAUGCAGGUCAAACCCUGCCACAAUGAGUAUCAUUAUCGUAAAACUUCUAUCUAACCAGAAGACAGGAAAAAAGAAUCAACAAGGGCGACAUUUCAAAACUUCAGAUUCAAUGACGGUAAAUAAAGAAUGAGGAAUAUUUCUUAAACUCUGUGGUAAAUUGAUUUUAAUUAAACAUUACCCAAGUGCUUGCUGGGCUAUAGGAGUUGACUGUGGUGGCACAAAUACAAAAGUGACUUGAUUAAUACCUUGAGUACUGAUGACACACACCUGACCAUUCAUUACAGCUUCCAUUAUGUGAGCAGUGCCUUAAAUCUUAUUUUAAUUUCACAGCAGCAUUGUGCCUGUCUGAUCUGAGGUGCAUGAAGUUUAAGAAUCUUGUCUGAGUCUCUACAGCUAGGAAGUUGCUGAAAGAAGAUUCAAGAUCCAGACAUGUGCAGGCCUGUUGAUGUCAUGCAGGUCCAUGGACCCCUCGGAGAAGAGGGUUGAGUUGACAUCGAGGAAGCAAGCUGCUCUAGUUGGAGCCAAACCAGACAACCUGCCCAUUCUGCUAAUUGGAUUUUGGGAUCUGUGUUGAGGUAGCCUGAGCUGGAAGUUUAUUCACCUCUGCUCAGAUGCCAAGUCCAUUGGCCUAGAAGUACAUAGAACCUAAUAAAAUAAAUUAGCAAAAUGGCUAUGUCA
ensembl:lncRNA